ACAAAAUCAGGAACAAUCCUGAUCACUUCAUAUGACAACAAAUCUGCCCAUACUUCCUUUGAGGAAAAAUGUCCUCUAAAUUUGGAUCUUUAGGAGACUCUGUACAGGUUUUCACAUCUAUUUGGUUCGCCAAUUCAGACAUUUCCACCUGUUGUGAGACCCAACUCCACAUUCACCUCUGUUUGAGCAGUAGGCAUCAUUCCUCCUCAGGAGGUGUGGUAGUUUAGUCUGGGCCUUCCUUGGUGAUCAGUUUGUAACCAAGGAAGUGCCCAAAUUUACCCAGUAUUCCCUAUGAUUUUUACGUAAGCCAGGCUAUAAGAAGAAAGGAGGAAAGGCCUUCGCCUCCUCUUUCAUUCCGGUGGCUUGGAGGCGCAGGUUCCCUGCUGUUGAGUCUGUCGUGUUGGGGAGUGAGGCCUGGUGAGGCCUUGCCGACCUUGGGAGACGGAGGUUGCUGGCGGUCGUUCCAGCGUGACUUUCCGUUGUCCCGAGGAGAGUAGCUACUGAGGAGGGAAAAAAAAAAAGGUAGUUCAGCAGGAAGCUGCAGAGGCUAAAGAAAUGAAGAAUCUGAAAUCGAUCCUGCUCCUGUCCUACAAAGCACAAUUUCUGCCAGAAGCACCAAGCAGAGCAGGAUUGUCCCUUGGUGAGUAGAGUUUUCUUUUUACUUUUUCUUCUUUUGUACCUCCACUAACACUGACAAACUAUUUACAUAUGAGAACAAUACUUGCAAUUUUGCAUCAACAGACUUGGAGCUGUUUUCUUAUAAGGCAUCUGAGAUUUUAUAUGAACUAGAUUUGGAGAUUGAGAACUACAGAUCUGUAUUUUCAUCUAGGAAAAGUUCUACUUGAAAAGAUUCCUCCCUGCUAGACUGCAUGAUGGUUUACUAACAGACCUGCUAGGAUAAGAAUACACAGGAAUUCACUUUAGAAGCUGCAGGAGGUUUUACCACCGUUUUUAUCGCUCUUGCUUGCUCUGAUCCAAAGCUGACAAAAACCCAUUAAGAGAUUGAAAUAAAGUGUGUGGAACCAGCAUGAGCAAGAAAUGUCCUAAUUGAGUACUGGAUCUGGCAUCCAGGCAACCUUUGCAACAGACUACCAGUCUCCUCUCAAAGAAUACCUUCUCUGCACUUCCAGAAGGCAGUUCUGCUCUGGAUCAGAUGAGGGACAAAAAUCUCAUUAUUUCAUUCCCUGGAUUUAAACUCCUGUGAAUUGACCAUCAGUAGUGUAGUGCAAACAAACUUCCCCAGAGAUCUAACCCCUCGGUAUAGUACUACAGUGAUAAGUAUUAAAAUGAGGAAACAAAAAUCCUGAAACAUUGGUUUUUUUGAGAUUUAUGUGCAGUGUAAAGUCAUGCAACAGAAUACAAUAAAAGCAACUGAUGUACCAAAAA